GAAAGCUCUGCUGUUUGGACAGCUUUAUGUAGGCCCUAACAGUUUGUAGGCACCGCUUGUCACUGUUAUAGUGCAAUUAAUGUGUUAUUUAGUGUAGUGUCUUUGGUGGCAAUUGUUUUUGUUUGCCCCACCAAGAUUUACAUGCUAAAAUCACCACUGGUCCUGGCUAUAAUCUCCAUUAUGAAUAUCUCCUAAUAAUUUAUUGAGCUAAGGUAGAUGUAGUCAAACACAAAUCCAUUUAGAGAAAGAGUAACAGAACCAUCAAGAUAACACAAACAGAUACACCGACAAGACAGAUACUAUAGAGCCCUGUCGUUGACGACACAUACAAAAAACAUGAAAACAUUCAUAAUGAGAUGAUGAACAGAUGAGUAUACUGUGAAAAAUAAUCCUCAUGACCUAACAAUGAGAAAGAAAAUACAUACGUAUUGCAUUGCUGAAGCUAGAACCAAGUGAACAUCGAAGACAGCCCUGAAAUACAGUCAACAGUGACAACGGUAAGAUAAGACAUUUCCCUCUUGAAAUAUUGCAUGGAAAUAAACCUGUAAACCUAUAUUGCCUUGCAUUAUGCCUAGGAUGCUCAACUUACCACAUGGCGAUCGACUCAACUUAACCCAAGACAUAUUUUGACUAUAUUAGCCCACACAGCCACAAUGAUGCACUUUCAUGCUAGGUUUAGGACAUCAAAUUGAAGUUUAUAGAGAUCCCAACUGAUGUAUAGAACAAUAUUGCAAUUAUCUACUUUGGUUUAGAUCCGAACAUAGUGAAACCGCUAACACAAUGAAUUUGACCUGGUGAAAAUCAGUUUUUUGGAACCAACUUUUUCCAUGUGGUUUCUUCCUUCAGACUCCAUGAAAUGAUGUCCUCUUCCUAAAGAUUUGGUCAAAUUAUUCAUUUUGUGUAUGGUUUCCUAGAAACAAGGGAGGCUCAAUUUACUCCUUUGGCUCAACUUGGCCCACUUUUCCCUCGGCCAGAUUUCUCUUAGGAAAGAGGUCCUCAAUGGGGCAAGCUUAAAUACAUUUUAAAAAUCUAAAGAAACAUUGUUCAAAGAAUUUGUAAGUCAUACUCCAUUGUUCUCUAUGGGACACUUAGUGGCUUUCUGUUUGAACUCUGACCUCUGCAUUACAGGGAGUCCGGAUCAGCAGAUGUGCCCCUUAAGGUUCCAGACACCAUCACCUCCUGGGAGUCAGAGGCAUUCUGCCUGGCCCCUGGUGGUUUCGGUCUGGCUGCUCCGGUAAAAUUUACAGUUUUACAGCAAUUCUUCCCGGAACUCCCCUUGCCUUACGCCAUCAUCCGUGGAGAGCAUUUUGAGCUGAAGGCCACUGUGUUCAACUACCUGUCCAAGUGCAUCAUGGUUUCUGUGACUGCGGCUCCUUCCUUAGACUACACUCUCACACCCCUGAAUGAUGUCCAGUAUUCAUCAUGCUUGUGUGCCAAUGGACGAAAGACCUUCAGUUGGACAAUGGCACCCUCAGUGCUGGGGGAUUUUAACAUCCAGAGCCUGUCCAGUCCCACGCUGUGUGUGACAAUGAGAUUGUGAAAGUAAAGGAGAGAGGACACAUCUACAAAGUCACACAGAGCCUGCUGGUGAAGGCGGAGGGAACAGAGAAGACCGACACCUACAACUGGUUGCUGUGUAAUGCAUGAAUGUUGAAUGUUCACUUUUAUUGAACUGAUCAUCUCCAUUCAUCUUAUCAUCUGUGUCCACUGGAGAAACUCUGACAGAAGAGGUGGAACUGCAACUCGCCAAGAAUGUGGUGGAUGGAUCUGAUCGAAUUUCUCUCUCAGUCCUGGGUAAAAUAAACAUAGUGAGUUUAGAGAGAUAGUGAGUUUAGAGAGGCGUAGUGGUGAGAUAAGCCAUGAGGUCAAAGGAAUUGUACGUUCAGCUCCGAGACAGGAUUGUGUCGAGGCAAAGAUCUGGGGAAGGGUAACAAAAAAUGUCUGCAUUAUUGAAAGUCCCCAUCAUUCU